CAUUAGAUAACUUAAAGCAAGUAAUGGUCUCUUAAACCAAACUAUAGUAAAAUAGUGCCUACUUCUAAUGA
rnacentral:tRNA from 1 species